AUCCAGCUGACGAGUCCCAAAUAGGACAAAACACGCGUCUUCGGU
rnacentral:hammerhead_ribozyme from 1 species